rnacentral:rRNA from 1 species
AUUGAACGCUGGCGGCAUGCUUUACACAUGCAAGUCGAACGGUAACAGGCCGCAAGGUGCUGACGAGUGGCGAACGGGUGAGUAAUGUAUCGGAACGUGCCCAGUCGUGGGGGAUAACGCAGCGAAAGCUGUGCUAAUACCGCCUACGAUCUAUGGAUGAAAGCGGGGGACCGUAAGGCCUCGGGCGAUUGGAGCGGCCGAUAUCAGAUUAGGUAGUUGGGGGGGUAAAGGCCCACCAAGCCGACGAUCUGUAGCUGGUCUGAGAGGACGACCAGCCACACUGGGACUGAGACACGGCCCAGACUCCUACGGGAGGCAGCAGUGGGGAAUUUUGGACAAUGGGCGCAAGCCUGAUCCAGCAAUGCCGCGUGCAGGACGAAGGCCUUCGGGUUGUAAACUGCUUUUGUACGGAGCGAAACGGCUCUCUCUAAUAAAGGGAGCUAAUGACGGUACCGUAAGAAUAAGCACCGGCUAACUACGUGCCAGCCGCCGCGGUAAUAC